UGUUAAGAAUGCGUUAUAGAAUAGAAGAAGCAGGGAAAAAAAGAAAUAAUUUCUUUGUAGGUAUAUUGUGGUUCUUUGACAGUUGUCUGAAGGUUUUUCAGGUUUUGCAUUAUGUAAGCAAUUCUGAAGUAAACAGGACUUGUUAAGCUUUCUUUCAUGCAGCUCUGAUAACAUAUCUAUUUGUGCCAAAAUGGGGAGCAAUAAAAAGUUGGCUUUUCAUAAGACAGUAUGUAAGAAAAGGGUUAUAUUAGUAUGCAGAGUCCAUUUAUUCAUUACGCACUUUCUGAGAUUCGUGCCUCUAGAGACUUUUUUGUGUUCAGGCCAGAAGAAAACUCAGAUAUUUAAAAGAUAUGCAAAUUCUUUAUGGAAUAGACUCAAAACACCGAAUGAUUUCAAAAGUAUUUCAUGGUAUAUUAGAAGCCUGUAGCUAUGGGAUUACGCUAGAUCUAUCAGCAAGUAAUGGAUAUUCUAGUAAGUUUUUAUUUAUUAAUUUGGAAUCAGAAUUUUAUAUACCUUCCCUAUAAGUAAGCUAUUUAUAAUUAAGUUUAGAAUCUCCCAGGGGCCUUAGUGUACCAACAUAUUCAUCUAGAUCAUUAUGAACACAUGCAAACGUUCCAAAGCUGAUAGUGACAGGUUUCCAUAUUGCUAGCACGCUACCAAAAUCUGGUUAGAAAAAGAAAAAUGACAAGUUGUUGUAAUUAUAGUUCGAACAUUGCUGGCGAUUUUUUAAAAUAAUGAAUAGAAUCAGAGGCUAAAAAACAACAAACAACAACAAACAUAAUAAUCAUACCUGAUUUAGGCUGCGUAAGUCUAUUCUAAAACCUAAAUGAGUUUCAUGUGCUGUGGAGCUGAUUCUUACUAUACAGGAUUCAGUACAGAGAAGCACAUCUAAACCUGACCCGUGGCAUCAUUUACCCCACAUUUAUUUGCUUUUUCACUGUGCUGUAUUUUGGUGCUUUGGUGUCAUUGAACCUAAUUGCAGAUUAAUUUUCUUUGAUCCUGAAAGAGCCUCAGCUACAAAGGUACCAAAAUAAUGCUGUUAGGAUAUGUUCGUAAGAAAAUGAAUAUAAUUCUGUUACUUGAGUGAUAUGAAACAUGACUUUUCAAAGUAGUAGAGAUUGCAUUACAGAAAAUAAAUUGAGGAAGAUCUAUCAAUCUCAUGUAUUUUUCUGCUUUUUUGUCCUUUGUGAGUUCACAAGCAGGAGGAAUCAAAAUAUGGGAGACCAGGAGGCCAGUACAGCAUACUUCAUUGCCUACAUGAAGACUAACAAGCUUCUCCUCCAAUCCUAUGUGAGCCACCUGGAAACCAUUGAGGAGCAUGAGAACCCCAGUGUCAUCUCUAUUGGAGACGUUCCAGAGAAACUGUUUGAAUGUCUGUACUAGAAAGAUGCAUAAAUUUAUCCUGCAAUGAAUACAGAAGAAUAGGAGAUGGAGGAUAGGAGUUGACCUACAGAUCUGGUAAAUCCUCCAGCAAAUAUCCUAAUGAAAUCCCUGCUCAUUUUUCAUUCCGGAUUUGUCCACAGAGGUGCUCCAGCAGGUAAUGGAGGAUGGAAAGAAUACUGUUGAGCAACGAGAAGCAAGUGAGAUUAAGACUGAAAAUACUGAUUCUACAAGAACUGCUUGUUCAUGGGAAUACUGCUGCUACUUGCCAGAAAACCUAAAGAAGAAAAAUAAUGAAAAGGUGAAGCAAUUUCUCUGAAUUCACAGUAAAUCAGCAGACUAAGGGAUCAAAGUCAGAUUAAUAGACCGAGGACAAACACAACUGCAGGGAUCGGCCUCUUCUCCCAG